UAUCUCCGGGUUCAGCUCUAAACCCAGACAACCCCUUUAAAUUGCUGUAAACUGCUUUGACCCUUGCCUGGUGUCAGUGUGGUUUCUUCCAUGCAUGUAAAAUCCUAGGAUUAAGACAAUUUGGAGCAGUAGAGCAAAUACAUUUUGCUCUGAUUGAGAGC